rnacentral:lncRNA from 13 species
AAGGAAGGAAGGAGGGAAGGAAGGAGGGAGGGAAGGAAGGAAGGGAGGAAAGAAAAUGGUCUGCCCAGAUCUUUUUUCCCUCUUCCAUUGAUCAGUGGAGCUAACCUGCUAAAGUGCUAUGAUUACAUUAGAUCUAGGGACAAGAAUUCCAGUCAGAUCCCUCCAGAAGGACUGGGAGAGACAAGGAAAGUCACCUCAUAGUGUGCCCACUGGUUGCACCCACCCCAGCCCUUCCAGGUGGUUCGGUUCACCCUUUCUCUCUCAUUAUGACAUGGUUUCCUCUCAGGUUUCUACCAUCAACCAUCAAUCUGUCCCCAGGACCAGAGACUUUCCUGUCACCCACUUACCCUGUCUGCAGUGGCACUGUGAGACUGAGACCUUUGAAGUGGUGCCUGCGUGUCAUUCUCACAAUAGUCAUGAAGACUUGGAGUCAAGGGAGUGCCUCCUCCCCAGGCCUAGAAUAGAUACUGCUGCUGCUCACCCCUGGUUCCCGCACGCGCCUGGCCCCUUCUGACUCCUACGCCUUUGCCGAUGCUGACCUGCGGGAAGUAUUACCCUUCUCUAGCUUCUCCCCGUCCUUCGAGGCCAACUCAGUUCCCAUCCCUUCCCUUUAUUCCUGCUACUGUACUUUCCACAGAUAUUCCCCGAGUGCCUGCUAGAUGCCAGGAACUCUUCUGGUGGUGACCCAGUAAUACAAAAAACAGACCCAUUGCUUGCCCUUGAGAACUUCUCUUCUGCCAGCCAGCCCCCUCUCCCAGUCCCUCUGCCCAAGACCGAGCUAAUCAUAUCACCUUCCCUGCUCACGUGGGUCUGCUGCAGCAGUUAUUACAGGGUAUUAGAGGGAGUGGCAUCUAGGUCCCGGGGCUCCCCAGUGCCCAACACCUUACCAAGCACCAGAGGCAGACUCUCAUUUCUUUAAAAAAGAAACUCAGAGAUAGCAAUUUGCAUAGGAAGGGAAGAGGCUAGGGGACUUACUCGCAAAAUGCACUUGCUGGCAUGUGUGACAGUUCUGCUUAGUUUUGUGAUUCUUUGGGGGAUCACUCAUGCAGUUCAGGGAAUUUGUUUUAUAGCUGCAGUGACCUGGCAGGCAUUCUACCAUCAUGUGGAGUGUGGUUAUCUGGGAUGGUUACGGGGCAUAAUGGAGACGGGAGAAAACUAAAGCUCUCCUAAACUGAUUCCUUGGAAACGCCAGUACCUGUCUGGCACACAGUGGGUGCUAAUGCCUGUUAGAAUUGUUGUUGAGAGGGCAGGAGGGUGAAAUAUGGACCCAGCUAUCUGAUCCUGAGGCUGGGUGCCAUGUGGGUGUGAAGGAGAUCAGGGGCUCCAGCCAGCGAGCGUUAGCUCGGGUUACAGUUAGGGAGCUGGCAGGGUGUUCAGGAGGAGCUGUUCUCUGGGGCAUGACACACAGCCCGCUCCUCCAAGGAAGAGCUGCCCCUGGAGGAAGCUAGCAGACAUCCUGUGUUCUUGAAAAGAAAACUGAAAAUGCUUUUCUUCAUAAGAAACUGUUGUGUUUC